rnacentral:rRNA from 1 species
GGUGCCUACGGGACGCAGCAGUGAGGAGUAUUGGUCAAUGAGAGAGAUCCUGAACCAGCCAAGCCGCGUGAGGGAAGACGGCCCUAUGGGUUGUAAACCUCUUUUGUCGGAGAACAAAACCCGGGACGUGUCCCGGACUGCGUGUAUCCGAAGAAAAAGCAUCGGCUAACUCCGUGCCAGCAGCCGCGGUAAUACGGAGGAUGCGAGUGUUAUCCGGAUUUAUUGGGUUUAAAGGGUGCGUAGGCGGUCCGUUAAGUCAGCGGUAAAAUUGCGGGGCUCAACCCCGUCGAGCCGUUUAAACUGGC